rnacentral:lncRNA from 1 species
UGUGAAAUGACAAAACAUUACAAAGUCAUGCAAACAUUACAUUUGAGUCAAAUAUUGUGUAGUGUUGAUUGACAAUGUAGGCUGUGAGGGGAGGAUAGCGGUUGUAUAUUGAAGGGAAAAUAUAUAAUUUCUCAGUAUAUAUAAACCAUAUGCAAUCUACUGUACAUAGUAUGUACAUGUAAAAACAGACCGAACACUUUCACAAAAACUUUACUUUGUAAAAAAAAAGAAGAUGAAUCUGAAAUAAAUCAAUACCUUUUGAAGGGGAUUCCUGGUUCUGAUUCUGGUUAUUAAAAUUAACUAAAACAAAUGGUGUUUAUAUUAAACUAUAUUGAUCACAGCUCUCUUGUUUGUAGGGGACUCUGAUUUAAUGAAACAUAAAACCAGCCCAUUCUCUUAUGGAAUACGCCAGAAGGUGCCGAUUCUGCAGGUUCCAGAUUACAUUUGGACCUGGCGAAAUGUGGAAGCUAUACAGUCCACUAGGGGCAAUGUGAGCGCCUAUUAACGUUACUUAGGGGCGGCAGGUAGCCUAGUGGUUAGAGCAUUGGAUUAGUAACCGAAAGGUUGCAAAAUCGAAUCUUUGAGCUGACACGGUAAAUAUGUGUUGUUCUUGCCCCUGAACAAGGCAGUUAACCCACUGUUCCUAGGCCUUCAUUGAAAAUAAGAAUUUGUUCUUAACUGACUUGCCUACUUAAAUAAAGGUAAAAUAAAAACAUUUAAAAAAAUGACCGUCGAGUAGGAUUGCAGCUUGCUAGGGGAUGGUGGAUGGGCCUUUAAACUGCAGACUCCCACUCCGAGGGUCACGUAUUCAAUCCCAGUGGUAGGCACUAUUGGUGCGCUGGUCAGCUGGUUGUUCAUCUCUGCACUCUCUCGCAAUUACUAAUAACCCAUCUGCAUCCGCCUGACUACAGUUGAUAAAGUGAAAACCUGUGGCCUGCACCCGACACUAACCUGCUAAUAUAGAAAAUGCGCUGUAGGCUACAGUCAGAGACCUUAUUUAAAUAGGUUUCUAGGCUAGGGAUCAGGGAUCAAAUCCAUAACAUUUUUAUAAAAAACGGGAUUUUCUGUGCAAAAUCUCCAAAUGACAUCAGUUUGACUGGUUGUAAGGAAAUUGAAAGAUAUGAAAACAACCCAAACUGUUUCUGAUAAGAUUUCAGUUCGGCUUGGAUGCAAAUUUUAUGUGGUUGAAAUACUAUCAGCUUUCAUGAUGCUGAUAAAGACAGCACCUCCACAGUCAUUUUGCAUUCUCUCUGAAAUAAAUAAAUCCUAUUUCUCUGCUCCUUAGUCAAAACGUGUCCUGUGUAUAAUUUCACUGCAAGAAAUGCUUAAUUCAGUAGGAGUUCAUGUUAAGACUAUCAAAUCAAAUUGUAUUUGUCACAUGCGCCGAAUACAACAGGUAGACCUUACCGUGAAAUGCUUACUUACAAGCCCUUAACCAACAAUGCAGCUCAAGAAAUAGAGUUAAGAAAAUAUUAAUACUAAAUUACCUAAAGUUUAAAAAAAUAAAGUAACACAAUA